rnacentral:rRNA from 1 species
GACGAACGCUGGCGGCGUGCCUAAUACAUGCAAGUAGAACGCAGUUGCGAACGGGUGAGUAACGCGUAGGUAACUGCCUCAUAGCGGGGGAUAACUAUUGGAAACAAUAGCUAAUACCGCCGACUGUGAGAUGGACCUGCGUUGUAUUAGCUAGUUGGUGAGGGAAAGGCCCACCAAGGCGACGAUACAUAGCCGACCUGGGAGGGUGAUCCGGCACAACGGGACCGGGACACGGCCCAGACUCCUCCGGGAGGCAGCAGUAGGGAAUCUUCGGCAAUGGACGGAAGUCUGACCGAGCAACGCCGCGUGAGUGAAGAAGGUUUUUGGAUCGUAAAGCUCUGUUGUUAGAGAAGCGUUAACUAACCAGAAAGGAACGGCUAACUACGUGCCAGCAGCCGCGGUAAUAC